AGCGGCAUCCGGGUGAGUAACGCGUGGGCAACCUGCCUCGAAGUCUGGGAUAACCCGGGGAAACCUGGGCUAAUACCGGAUGAGCCCACGAGGUCUUCGGGCCUCGCGGGAAAAGAUGGCCUCUGCUUGCAAGCUAUCGCUACGAGAUGGGCCCGCGUCCCAUUAGCUAGUUGGCGAGGUAACGGCUCACCAAGGCUCCGAUGGGUAGCUGGUCUGAGAGGACGAUCAGCCACACUGGGACUGAGACACGGCCCAGACUCCUACGGGAGGCAGCAGUCGGGAAUCUUGGGCAAUGGGCGCAAGCCUGACCCAGCGACGCCGCGUGAGGGAUGAAGGCCUUCGGGUCGUAAACCUCCGUCAGGAGGGAAGAAUGGCGGUGGGGUGAAUAAUCUCGCUGUCUGACGGUACCUCCGAAGGAAGCGCCGGCUAACUCCGUGCCAGCAGCCGCGGUAAUACGGAGGGCGCAAGCGUUGUUCGGAAUCACUGGGCGUGAAGCGCGUGUAGGCGGCUUGGCAAGUCGGAUGUGAAAUCCCGAGGCUCAACCUCGGAACUGCACUCGAAACUGCCUGGCUCGAGUCCCGGAGAGGGUGGCGGAAUUCCCGGUGUAGGGGUGAAAUCCGUAGAUAUCGGGAGGAACACCAGUGGCGAAGGCGGCCACCUGGACGGUGACUGACGCUGAGACGCGAAAGCGUGGGGAGCAAACAGGAUUAGAUACCCUGGUAGUCCACGC
rnacentral:rRNA from 1 species